CCGCGUGUGUGAAGAAGGCUUUCGGGUUGUAAAGCACUUUCAGUGGGGAAGAAGGCUUGUCGGCCAAUACCCGGCAAGAGCGACAUCACCCACAGAAGAAGCACCGGCUAACUCCGUGCCAGCAGCCGCGGUAAUACGGAGGGUGCAAGCGUUAAUCGGAAUUACUGGGCGUAAAGCGCGCGUAGGCGGCUUGUCACGCCGGGUGUGAAAGCCCCGGGCUCAACCUGGGAACGGCAUCCGGAACGGGCAGGCUAGAGUGCAGGAGAGGAAGGUAGAAUUCCCGGUGUAGCGGUGAAAUGCGUAGAGAUCGGGAGGAAUACCAGUGGCGAAGGCGGCCUUCUGGACUGACACUGACGCUGAGGUGCGAAAGCGUGGGUAGCAAACAGGAUUAGAUACCCUGGUAGUCCACGCCGUAAACGAUGUCGACUAGCCGUUGGGUCCCUUGAGGACUUAGUGGCGCAGUUAACGCGAUAAGUCGACCGCCUGGGGAGUACGGCCGCAAGGUUAAAACUCAAUGAAAA
rnacentral:rRNA from 1 species